GGGGGGGGGGGGGGGGGGGGGGGGGGGGGGGGGGGCGGGGGGAGGGGGCGGGCGUGGGUGGGGGGCUCGGGUGGCGAACGGGUGAGUAACGCGGGAGUAACCUGCCCUUGACUUUGGGAUAACUUCAGGAAACUGGGGCUAAUACCGGAUAGGAGCUCCUGCUGCAUGGUGGGGGUUGGGAAGUUUCGGCGGUUGGGGAUGGACUCGCGGCUUAUCAGCUUGUUGGUGGGGUAGUGGCUUACCAAGGCUUUGGCGGGUAGCCGGCCUGAGAGGGUGACCGGCCACAUUGGGACUGAGAUACGGCCCAGACUCCUACGGGAGGCAGCAGUGGGGAAUAUUGCACAAUGGGCGGAAGCCUGAUGCAGCAACGCCGCGUGCGGGAUGACGGCCUUCGGGUUGUAAACCGCUUUCGCCUGUGACGAAGCGUGAGUGACGGUAAUGGGUAAAGAAGCACCGGCUAACUACGUG
rnacentral:rRNA from 1 species